UACGAAGGGGGCUAGCGUUGCUCGGAAUCACUGGGCGUAAAGGGUGCGUAGGCGGGUCUUUAAGUCAGGGGUGAAAUCCUGGAGCUCAACUCCAGAACUGCCUUUGAUACUGAGGAUCUUGAGUUCGGGAGAGGUGAGUGGAACUGCGAGUGUAGAGGUGAAAUUCGUAGAUAUUCGCAAGAACACCGGUGGCGAAGGCGGCUCACUGGCCCGAUACUGACGCUGAUGCACGAAAGCGUGGGGAGCAAACAGG
rnacentral:rRNA from 1 species